UUGACGACAGUCAGUGUGCACCUCGGCC
rnacentral:sRNA from 1 species